AAAGCCAGUAUAUACUUCUCACAGGUACAUCUAUUUAUAACAUUAUUUCUGACAAGUGGCUCAAUGUUUACAGAGGAAAAGUUGCUGAACUUACUAGAAGCGAUUUUUGAUCAUUUCAUACUUAUCUAUUUUGUUUUGUUUCAGAGAGUAGCUACAUUAAUAAUUUUAGAUUAUCAAAAGAUGCAUUUCGGACUUUGUAUCAUGACUUAGGACCAUAUCUGAAGGUCCAAUGCUCUACAACUGUGCAAUCGACUUUAAGUGACAAAUGCCCUCAAUCAGCCUGCAAUCGUGAGAUAAUAUAUCAAGUUUCCUCGGACAAAAACUGAGCAUAUAGAAGUCUCCAGAGGUUUUAAUGACAAAUUUGGAUUUCUUGGAGUACUUGGAUGCAUCCAUGGCACACACAUUGCCAUUAUCCAACCUCACAAGUGGGAAGAGGCCUUCUUCAAUAGCAAGUAUUACCAUUCAUUGCAUGUUAUGUUGGUUUGUGAUGGAGAUAUGUGCAUUUGUGAUGCAUCCAAUGGGAGUGUUAGUGCUAGACUGCUAGCCAAGAUAACCAUAUUUGGAACAACAGCACUUUGAGAAGGGAAAAGGAACAUCUCCUUAAUUUUAAUAUGUUUAAGUUCAUUAAGUGGACUUGUGUGGUCCUUGAAAUGUAAAUUAUGAAGUCAGUGUGGUGUAAUCAAAAGUGGCAGAUUUGUUAUUCAAUAAUACAACAUCUAAACAAACCUUUCUUUAUUGACAUCAAAUAAACUAUUUUCAUUAUGCAUAUUUAUUUAUUUUGUGUUAUUACAUAAUUUGUUUCAUUGCACCCCUCUCAUUAACCAACUUAUCUCUCAAGUAGAUACAUUUUUUCUAAUCUUGUGUCCAUUGUGCUUAAUAAAGUAGUUUAUCCAUCUAUCUUUAACUUGUAAUAAAUAAAUCCAUUUAUUUUGUAU